rnacentral:rRNA from 1 species
UACGUAGGGUGCGAGCGUUGUCCGGAAUUAUUGGGCGUAAAGAGCUCGUAGGCGGUGUGUCGCGUCGGCCGUGAAAACCUGCAGCUUAACUGUGGCGUGCGGUCGAUACGGGCAUCACUGGAGUUCGGCAGGGGAGACUGGAAUUCCUGGUGUAGCGGUGAAAUGCGCAGAUAUCAGGAGGAACACCGGUGGCGAAGGCGGUUCUCUGGGACGGUACUGACGCUGAGACGCGAAAGCGUGGGGAGCGAACAGG